rnacentral:rRNA from 1 species
AGAGGGUGCGAGCGUUAAUCGGAAUGACUGGGCGUAAAGGGCGCGUAGGUGGUUAAUUAAGUAAGAGGUGAAAUCCCCGGGCUUAACCUGGGACUGGCUUUUUAGACUGGCUAACUGGAGUGCAGUAGAGGGUAGUGGAAUUUCCGGUGUAGCGGUGAAAUGCGUAGAUAUCGGAAGGAACACCAGUGGCGAAGGCGGCUACCUGGACUGAGACUGACACUGAGGCGCGAAAGCGUGGGGAUCAAACAGGAUUAGAUACCCUGGUAGUCCACGCUGUAAACGAUGAGAACUAGAUGUUGUGUAGCUUAGACUAUACAGUAUCGUAGCAAACGCGAUAAGUUCUCCGCCUGGGGAGUACGACCGCAAGGU